rnacentral:misc_RNA from 1 species
GCUGUUGGAAGGUUCUGAUUCGGCCUGCUUCUAUGUGAACACCGACGAAGGAGACAACCGAUGACGGAACUUUUGUACAGACCGUCGUCUUCUGCUUGCAAGUAGCGUCGCGUAAAUUUUCUCUAUCUCCUACAGUGCCUCUGUACUCUUCUAGCAAAUUCAGGAACAAAAUAUUUUCGUCUCACGUGCUCGACGAUCUUUGCACGUGACAUUCUAGACAAUGUGACGAGAAGAAUGAUGCAAUCUCUGCGAAUUAUCCAUGAAUUCGCGACCUUCCUUCCGAUUUUCAACGCUUUCAUGAUCGAAGAGCGCUAUAUUUAGAGGACCAUAUAUUUUUGGCAAGUGC